UGGAUGAGGCCAGAAUGACCGUUUUGGCCUAGCAGUUUGUAGGGGGUGCGUCCUUCCUGCGCUGGGAUCUGAGCAUGCAAGGAGGACAUUCGCAUUUAACCUUGUAUACAAGGUUAUAGCUAUUUGUGCAUAGUAUAUAUAUAAAAUUGCAAGCAAUAUAAUGACAAAUCUGUAACUGCCCAGUGGGUUCACCUUGCCCGCUACCUAGACAGAGCCAAUUUCUCAAGACAGGGGAAUAGCAAUAGAGAAAGAGUAAUUCACGCAGAGUCGGCUGUGCGGGAGACCAGAGUUUUUUAUUUUAUUUUAUUUUUCUGAAACAGAGUCUUGCUCUGUCUCCCAGGCUGGAGUGCAGCUUCGGAGUUUUAUGAUUAUUCAAAUCAGUCUCCCUGAGCAUUUGGGAAUAAGAGUAUUUAGAAAGUUUAUUUUGUCAAGGUUGGGGAUGCUUGUGCAUGACACAGCCUCAGGAUGUCCUGAUGACAGCUGCCCAAGGUGGUCAGAGCACAGCUUGGUUUUGCUGGAGAUAAAUACUCGGUGCCGCAAAGUGAAACCAGCACUCAAGCGAAAGUUUUCUCAGCAACGCAGUUUACUUCUGCGGAAGCGUGCUGCUCGCAUCAAUCACAAUCGCAAGAGCACACGGAACAAAGGAAAGCAGGGGUUUUUAUUCCUAACGCAAUCCCUACCUCUGGCAUGGGCUGGGGCCAGACCUCAAGAUCUUAACUGACCCGGUUGGCUAUUUGUGAAUAUUUUCCCAAAUAAGGAAGGGAAAAGGGGGAUGUGAGUUACAACGGUGGGACGUGUGGUUUUGAAGGGAGAAAUGGGUGCAGAGCAGGUAACCAAGGUAACAGAUGUGAGUUAUUGAUUAGAACUGACGGGAAGGUUGUUUACAGUAACUAAGGGCAAGCAGGCAUGGAGAACAAGAAAGCUGAGUUCGAGAACAGAAAACAAGAACGUUAACUUGCCAAACCUUGGAAGCGAAACUGACUGUAUCUGACAGUUUUAUACAUUUUAGGGAGACAGGAGACAUCAAUCAACAUAUGUAAGAGGAACACUGGUUUGAUCCAGUACAACCUGAAGCAAAAGUGGGUCAUCUCGAAGCCAGGAGGCGGCUUCCAGGUCACAGAAACAGGGGUCACCCUCGGUUGCCCAGGUUGGUCUCUGGUGCCCAACGCGGGGCUCCCCGUAAUCUCUACAAAUAAUCCAGUGAAGGAACACCAGAGCGUGGAAAGCGGAGGACGACAGACAAAGGACUCCCGAGUAGGUUUUCACUUCAAGCUCUAGGUUCAACAGAGUCCAAGGAAGCCUUAUCCAGAUUCUAUCGCCCGUUCGCAGGAUGCGGCUCAAAAGGCUAUUUCCGAUUCUCAUGCCAAGAAAGUGAUCGUUCAGCUGCUUGCUCAUGAAAAUGCUAAUACAGAAUGUCAGGCAGCAAUUAGAUCUGUUAAGGGAAAGGAAGAUCUAAAUGAGGAAAAAACUUCAAGUGAAUACAUUAAAGCCUGCGAUGGCAUUGGGGGACACUUAUAUAAGGCCAGCCUCCUUAUACAAGGCCAGGGGGAGAGAGGGGGAUCCUAUUACUCCCCAUAUCGCGGGGGAUGCCUCACCCCCCUGCGAUGUGGAUCGUAACAGCAAGGGGGAGAGAGGGGGUUGCUAUUACUCCCCAUUACGAUGUGGAUCGUAAUAAUUACUCCCCCCUGCAAUGUGUAUCCAUUAUUAGCAGUCUCUUUUGUUCAGGAUAUUAGGAACAAUUUCACAAGUUGUGUGUACACAGCCUGCAAUAGGAGAACGAACACCAUCCUCUGCACCUCCGGAUAUUAGGAACCAUAUCACAUAAUGGGUGUACACUUUUUGGGAGAUUUGGGGUAAUGUCGUCCUGUGUUACCCUGAAUAUUCGGAGACAUAUCACAGGGCGGCUGUACACCCACUACUCUCUUGGCAGGAGCAUCAUACUUUACCUACUGGAAAUUAGGAGCAAUAUCACAGACUGGGUGUGAAGCCACUGUCAUAUUGGAAGUAAUAUCAUGCUCUCCCCCACAAGUUAUGAGGAACAAUAUCACAGGAGGGUGUGUACCUUCUCUGGUAGUGGGAAUAGUAUCAUCAUCUCUUCCUUUAGAUGACAGGAACAGUAUCACAGGGUGGGUGUACACCCCGUGUAUUUUUGGAAGCAAUGUCAUUCUCUCUUCCUCUGGGUUUUACGAUUCAUAUCACAGGCGGGGUGUACACCCCUUGUUAUAUUGGAUGAAAUCUCAUCCUCUUUCAACCUGUAUCUUUAGAACAAUAUCCCAUGGGGACCGUACAUCUCUUCAAUAUUGGUAGUAAUACCAUCUUAUCCUUUCCUGGAUAUCAGAAACAAUAUCACAGAAGGGGUGUACACCCCUUGCAAUAUUGGUAGUAAUAUCACCUCUCCCCUGUGGUUAUUAAGGACAAAAUCUCAGGGUGGCUAUACGGUUCCUACUUUAUUGGGAGUAAUAUCAUCCACUUACCCCCUGGAUAUCAGGAACCAUAUUACAGAAGAGGUGUCCACCCCCUUCGAUAUUGUCAGCAAUGUCAUCUUCUCACCUGGAUAUUACGAACGAUACCUCGGGGUUGGGGGCCAUGUACGCUCACUGCGAUAUCGCAAGUAAAAUCAGCCUCUUUCCUGCUGGAUAUUAGGAACUGUAUCACAGGUGUGUGUGCACCUUCGGGGAUAUUGGGAGUACUAUCAGCCUCCACCCCGCUGCAUAUUAGGAACAAUAUAUGGGAGGCAGGAUGGUUACACCCCCUGCGACACUGACAGCAAUAUUCUUCCCUUGUCCCUGUAUAGUAGGAACUAUAUCCCAGGGGUCUGUACACCUUCUGUGAUAUUGGGAUUAAUGUUAUCCUCUCCCCCACUGAAUGUCAAAAACAAGAUUACAGAAGGGUGUACACCCCCUGUGAUAUGGCCAGUAAUAUCAUCGUCUCUACCUUUGUAUACUAGGAACAACAUCACAAAGGGUGUGUACACUCCCCUGCGAUAUUGGGCAUAAUGUUAUCCUCUCUUCCCCUGGAUAUUAGAAACGAUAUCCCUGGUGGUGGGAGGUGGAGUACAUUAAGAGCAAUAUCACUGGGUGGGUGUACACCUCCUAUUGGGUGUAGUAUCAUCCUCUCUUCCCUAGGAUAUUAAGAACAGUAUCACAGGAGGGGUGUACAGCCACAGCCCCUGCAUUAUUGGGAGUCAUAGCAUCUUCUCCCCCUCUCGAUAGAAGGAACAAUAUCCCAGGGUGGGUGUACAUCCCCUGCAAUAUUGGGCGUAAUGUCAUCAUCUCCCAACGUGGAUAUUGGGCAUAGUGUCACAGGAGGGUGUACGCCUUCUUCGAUAUUGGGAGUAAUAUCAUCCUCUCCCCUCAGGAUUGUAGGCAAAAUAUCGAAGGGGUUUUACAACUCUUGCGAUAUGGGCAGUAUCGCAAUAUCAUCCUCUACCCACCUCAAUGUUAGGAAGUAUAUCACAGGCGGCUGUAUUACUCCCAAUAUCACAGAGAGUGAACAAUCCUUCUGCGAUAUUGUUGCUAAUAUCCGGAGGGGGAGAGGAUGGUAUUACUUUCAAAAUCGCAGGCUGUGUACACCCACCCUGUGAUAUUGUUCCUAAAAUCCAGGAAGGGAGAGGACAGUAUUACUUUCCAUAGAGUAGGAGCUGUACACCCACGCUGGGAUUUUGUUCCUAAUAUCAAGGCGUGGAGAGCGUAGUAUUAUUCCCAAUAUGGCAGGGGGUGUACAUCCCCCCUGAGAUAUUGUUCUUGCCAUUCAAAACAGGAGAGGAUGACAUUACUCCAGAUAUCGAAGAAAGUGUAAACCCCAUGUGAUAUUUUUUCUCAUAUCCAGAAAGGAAGAAGAGGAUAUUAAUCCCCAUAUCGCAGGAGGUGUACACCCACUCUGAUCUUUUUCCAAAUAUGCACAGGGGGAAGAGGAUAAUCCUAUUCCCAGUAUCGCAGCAAGGGUUGUACACCCUCGUGUGAGAUGGUCCUUCAUAAUAUUCCAAGGCGGAGGGUAUGAUAUGACUACAUAUAUGGCAGAAAGUGUACACCCCCCAGGGAUAUUGUUCCCAUGAUCCUGGAGGGAAGAGGAUGAUAUUACUUUAAAGAUCACAGAAGGUGUACAUGCCCCCAGUGAUCUAGUUUCUAAUUUUGACGUGGGAGAGGAGGAUAUGACACCCCAUAUGGUAGGGAGUAGAAACACUCCUGGGAUACUGCUCUUAAUAUUCAGGGAGGAAGAGGAUGAUACGAUUCCCAAUAAGGACGGAUGUACACCCAUCUGUGAAACAGUUCAUAAUUUCCAGGCGGGGAGAUGAUAUUACUCACAACACCGUAAACAGGCUGUGAGUCCACCAUGGACCGUAAUAGCCAGGGCGAGAGAGGGGGUGGCUAUGACUUCCCACAUUGUGGGGAGUACAUCACCUGCAGUACAAAGAAUAGUAUUAUCUUCUCUUCCUUUACCUCUUGAGAACAAUAUCCCAUGGUGGGGGGUACACCCCUUGCACUAUUGGGAGUAAUAUCAUUCUCUCUUAUUCUGGAUAGUAGGAAGAAUAUCACAGGUGGAUGGACAACCCCUGUGAUAUUGAGAGUAAUAUCAUCCUCUCCCAAUGUGGAUAUUAGGAACCAUAUCACAGGGGGCGUGUACACUUCUUCGAUAUUGGUAGCGACAUCAUCCUCUCCUCCCUGGGUGUAAGAAACAAUGUGACAGGUGGGGUGGACACCCCCCGUGACUUGGGGAGUACUAUCCCUCCCUGGAUAUUAGGAUCCACGGUGGACACACAGCGUGUUUACAAUUUACAAUUUUGUGAGUAAUAUCAUCUCCCCCUCUAGACAUUACGAACAGUAUCAAAGACGGGUGUACACCCUCUGCAAUAUACAAUAUAGGGAGGAAUAUCAUCAUCCUCUCCCCCUCUGGAUAUUAGGAACAAUAUCAAAGGAGUGUUUAUAACCUCUGGAAUAUUGGGAGUAAUAUCAUCCUCUCCCACGUGGAAAUUAGGAACAGUAUCACCGGGGGCGUGUACACCCCCUGCCAUAUUGAAAGUAGUAUCAUCCUCUUCCCUCCCAGAUCAUGGGAAUGACAUCACUGGGGGAUGUACACUUUCUGCGAUAUUGGGAGUAACAUCAUCUCUGCCUUGGAAUAUUAAGGACAAUAUCGCACGGGGGCAUAUACAUCUUCUGCAAUAUUGGGAAUAAUAUUAUCCUCUCUUCCCCUGCAUAUGAGGAAAGAUAUCACAGAGUGGGUGUUCACCUCCUGCGAUAGGGGGAUUAAUAUCAUCUUCUCCCCUUCUGGAUAUCAGGAAGAGUAUCACACGGGAUUGUACAGUGUCUGCAAUACUGGGAGUAAUAUCAACCUCUUGGCCUUGGAAUAUUAAGAAGACUAUCACAGGGUGGAUGUACACCCCCUGCCAUUUUGGGAGUAAUAUCAGCCUCUCCCCUCCAUGGAUAUGAGGAGCAAUAUCCCAGGCUGGAUGUCCGCCUCCUGCUGUACGGGGAGUAAUAUCACCCUCUCCCUUCCAGGAUAUUAAUAACGAUAUCACAGGACAGGUGAACACAGCCUGCAAUACUGGAAUUAUUAUCAUCCUCUCCCCCUCCGGAUACUAAUAACAAUAUCACAGAAGAGCUGCACCCUCCCUGCGAUAUUGGGAGUAAUAGCAUAGGCUUCUUCCGGGAAUAUUAGGAGUGAUAUAACCAGGUGGCUGUCCAUUCAUUGCUAUGUUGUUAGUCAUGUCAUACUCUACCCCCUGGAUAUUAGGAUCAGUGUCACAGGGUGAGUGUACACCAACGGCGAUAUUAAAACUAAAAUCAUGCUCUCCAUCCCUGGAUAUUAGGAACAACGUCACAGGUA